rnacentral:rRNA from 1 species
UCGAGGAUCUUCGGCAAUGGGCGCAAGCCUGACCGAGCGACGCCGCGUGUGCGAUGAAGGCCUUCGGGUUGUAAAGCACUGUCGGGGGGGAGAAAAGGGCAACCUUGAUCGACCCCCGGAGGAAGCACGGGCUAAGUUCGUGCCAGCAGCCGCGGUAAGACGAACCGUGCGAACGUUGUUCGGAAUCACUGGGCUUAAAGGGCGCGUAGGCGGGCAGCCAGGUCAGAGGUGAAAUCCUGCGGCUCAACCGUAGAAGUGCCCCUGAUACCGGCUGUCUAGAGGGAGGUAGGGGCGUGCGGAACUUCCGGUGGAGCGGUGAAAUGCGUAGAUAUCGGAAGGAACGCCGGUGGCGAAAGCGGCGCGCUGGACCUCUUCUGACGCUGAGGCGCGAAAGCCAGGGGAGCAAACGGGAUUAGAUACCCCUGUAGUCC